UUGGGUGAUUAGCCUUUGCUUAUGCAAAGAGGAAUCUACAAAGUUAUGAUUUCAACUCACUUUGUUUUGAGUUGAGUUUUGGUUCACCAAUCUACUAGGCUUUGAAUUUCAUGGGUAAUGUUUUGUUUUUGAGUGCAUGCAAGCAUGAUUCCGCCUUUAAUUGUUAAUUGCAUGCUAUAUGAUGUUGCUCACAUGAACAUGUUUUCACAAAAUCAUCCUUCAAGUGGUAUCAGAGCCUAGGUCUAGUAGUUGGUGAAUCCUUUUGGGUUUUGUAGUUCAUAGUUUGUGAUUUAAAAGUUGUAAUAUGUUACAAGCUUUAUUCUUGUUUCUUUGAAUGUAAAUUUUGUUAGAAAAUUUUCCAUCUCAAAUGUUGUAGAUGUAGUUCAUAUGAGCAUGAAUAUUGGAGCUAAAAUUUGGUGCCAUGAUUUUGGGGAUUUUCGGCCAAAUCCAAAGGGUGGAUUUUUGGGUUCUUGUUUGACUUGUUAAAAGUGUUUUCAAGUAACGUUUGGAACCCCUAUGUACCCUAGUUUGGUUAUAUGUUAUGUACCUAAAGUUUGAAUGGUUUUGGGAUGUUUUUGGAGUAAAAAUAUUCAUGGAAAUUUUUGGGUUUUUCAUGAAUGUUCUUCAUUGUUCUUGACAUUUUUGCCAAGAACAAAAAGGUUUGUGUUUUGAUUCAAAGUUUUGAUUUAUUUCAUAAAGUUUAUGUUUUAUGUAUUUUCAAAUGUUUAAAUGUUUUAGAUAUUUGUUUAAAUGGUGUAAGAAUUAUUGGUGAGUGUGUAAGGAUUAAUUUCCUUUCACACACACCACUUGCACCACUUGAUUGCUUUAUGUCUAAACUACAAAUCAACACACACAUCACUCCCUUUCCUUCUCCAAAACGGGCCCUCCCUCAAGUGGGAGUACUUUUGGGGCUUUUAUGCAAUUACAUAAAGUUUUGAUACUUUUGUGUAUUUGCACUUUGGCCCAAAAGUUUACGUUUUUACGUUUAGGUCCAAAAAUGCUAAAGGACAAAUUGUUUUGCUCCUUUAAUGAAGUUUUUACAUUGUUUAAAUUUUGGGUUCUAGUGUAAUUAUAUGAAGUAGUGGACUUUUGUGUUCCUACAAAGUGACCCCAAAAGUUUAUGUUUUCGCAAUAUUGCCCAAAAAGUUGUGGUUAUUGCAUGAUGGCCCAAAUAGUUUGAGAACAAAAUUGUUUUGUCUCUUUAAAUGAGAAUUGGAUUUUCAUUUCAUUUAGCUCCAUUUAAAUCAAUUCUAUGGAUACAAAAACCAAAUGAAAAUGUUGCAUUCAAUUUAAUUAGUUAAAGCGUUAAUUAAUUAAAGGGUGAUUAUGAACCUAAGCCUAAUAUAAUUGAGCUAUGUGAUAGGCCGUUUCAAAUUUGUUUGAACCAUGGGAAUGUGUAGAUUAGAUUUUGGUUGUAAUUUGAUUUGAUCAAAUGUUGUAAAAGGGCAUAAGCUCUUCUUUACUUUAUAGUCCAUCAAUGAAUGCAAACCUUAU
rnacentral:lncRNA from 1 species